GGCAGCCCACGCCUCCCAGGGAUUGCAGGCCUGGGCGCCGGGGUUGGACCAGUCUCCCGGGCAUGGCACGCCCUGGUUAUUCUGUACCCGUGAUUUGUGGCGGGGCAAGACGUUAAGUUGGGUGACACCGAGUGACACCAGUGAUGCUGUUAAACAAGGACAAUCCGGUUCAUGGAUUGUGACAACGCACGCUGACAUCAAGCAGACCCUGCCGUCAGGUACAGAGGGCACCACAGUGACCAGGAACUGCUGUCCUUUCAUACCAGGUUUUAGGAGGCUUUACCAGAAGGAAUGGAAAAUGCUGGUGGGCAGUAAGAUUGAAACAGCAUCUGAGGACUGGUUCUGCACAAAACCUUAAAUUCUUCAAGGACUUUGACAUUUGUUUAUUCUUGUAACAAAUUAAAACCUAUCCUGUGUGUUGGUUAGAGAUCUUCAAACUGUAAAUACCUUGAGGCAGGAGUGAGGUUUUUAUCUUUUAAAGGACAGGCCCCUACUCUCCUACGUAAUGAGUUUCUAAAAAUGGAUGUGAGCACCAAUCAAUAUUUCUCUGGUUGUUAAAGUCAAGAAUAAAAUGGUAUUUUUAAGCUCGCAACUGUGUAGGAUGAAUUCUGUACACUUUUAUUUCCCUCUGUUCUCCUUUCCUAUUUGAAAGUUUAUUAGUUUGUGGACUUGGGAUCGGAUUAUUCAUGCAUUAUUUUUUGAUGUUGUAUGUCUCUUGGUUCUUGGGUAUUUUUGACACAUAUUCUGUCUUGUAACCAUAGUUAAACAAUUGUUUUAGACCAACUCUCUGUGUGUAAUUGGCUUCAACACUCACUGCUAGUCCUUUGACGCUCUGUUUUUUUCCAUUCUUGAGUAAUUUUAAGUCAUCACUUGGGCAGUUGAAAUAUAUUUUAAAGUGAUUUAAAGAAUAUGUGAGUGGCAGACAUUCUGAACUCUUUUGGUUGUCUGUCCUCAAAAACUAAAACUUAUUUGUGAGUAAAAUUUUCAUCUAAGUGUUUUCCAUAUAAAAACUCUGUCAGCUACUGCUCCAUUGUAGUAGACACAAAAAAGUCAGCACAAUUUUCAUCCCUCCCUCCCUCCCUUCUCUUCCCCUUCCCCUUCUUGCCCUCCUUCCUUCCUUCCUUCUUUCCUUCCUUCCUUCCUUCCUUCCUUCCUUCCUUCCUUCCUUCCUUUUUCUUUUGUUUCUGAAUGUACAAAGAAAACACUUAAAAAUUUGCUUGUAAUUUAAAAACUUG
rnacentral:lncRNA from 10 species